UACGUAGGGGGCGAGCGUUGUCCGGAAUCAUUGGGCGUAAAGCGCGUGUAGGCGGCUCGGUAAGUCUGCUGUGAAAGUCCAGGGCUCAACCCUGGAAGGCCGGUGGAAACUGUCGGGCUAGAGUCCGGAAGAGGCGAGUGGAAUUCCCGGUGUAGCGGUGAAAUGCGCAGAUAUCGGGAGGAACACCAAUGGCGAAGGCAGCUCGCUGGGACGGUACUGACGCUGAGACGCGAAAGCGUGGGGAGCAAACAGG
rnacentral:rRNA from 1 species